GCACUGAGAGGACCUUUCUCUAGUACAAGAGGACCGGGAAGGACGCACCUCUGGUGUACCAGUUAUUGUGCCUACGGUAAAUGUUGGGUAGCCAAGUGCGGAAAGGAUAGCUGUUGAAAGCAUAUAAGUAAUCUCUACCGCGUAAUAGUGC
rfam:Triticum aestivum genome assembly, contig: Triticum_aestivum_CS42_TGACv1_scaffold_222178_3B